rfam:Oribacterium sp. oral taxon 078 str. F0262 genomic scaffold Scfld1, whole genome shotgun sequence.
GCCCCCGUAGCUUAAUGGAUAGAGCGCUGGCCUCCGACGCCAGUAGUGGCGGUUCGAGUCCGUUCGGGAGCA